UAUGGCCACAUCAAGUUGAAACGCCUUUUCUCGUACGAUCACCGAAGUUAAGCAAAGUCAAGCCCGGUCAGUUAGUAGAUGAGUGACCGCUCGGGAAUCCUAGGUGUUGUAA